AGCACGAUUCGCUGCUGUAGUGUGCGGAUUGUGCAGCUCCUACUGUGUUGUUUAUAACUGUAACUCAUUCUAUACAAGAUAUUACACACAUAUUACUCCAUCAGCUGACAACGGGAGAUGCCUGUGUGCUGGCUAGUGAGUGAAGAUGAUUCUCACAAACCCAUUCAGCUUCAACACCAUCAAACUGUGACUUUGGGAAGAGGACCAGACACUAAGAUAAAAGACAAAAAGUGCUCCAGAGACUAAGUUGAAUUGAGAGCUGAUUGCAAUAGAGGAUUUAUCAGUGUUAAACAGCACUGGAGGAUUCUACAGUUUUUAUAACAGCAGAAGAGGUGAAAUAAAAACAAUCACACUAACACCUCGUUGGUGUUUGCUGUAUCUAAAUGUUUAAUCAUUGACAAUAUUCAUCCCUAUUUUUAUCCUCACUUCAAUGCAUAUUUAGUUAUUUUAAUUAGAUAAUCAAGGGUUUUAAAUUGAAGUGAGUGCAUGCACCUCUGUGCCCAUCAUAGUAAUGAAAGACUAAACAUUUUUUGUUGUCAUUCUAUAAACAGAUUUUAAAAACUAAACUCACCAUGUUCUUUAAAAACUCAACAAGUUCAAGUAACUGAGGCACUUUUCCAAACACCACAGACAGCAGAAACAUGCUUUCAGCAUGUAGCGAGCACAGGCAUUUUACUACAGGAGUUAAAUAUGACUUGUUGCCAUUUCAACGUCACUUGUUCUUAUGGGUGGUAUAUAAAAAUAUAUAAAAUUCAGGAUUUUGCUGGCUAAGUAAAAUUAAGCAACACUGAAUAUUGCGAUGAUUUUAACUUGGACAUUUCGUUUCCUAAAUACUGCAUAAUUAGAUUAGACACAGUCUCUCUUUGCAAAUAUAAUCAGAGAAUUACGACAGAUAUUUUAAUAGCAUCACUGAUUUUAAUUUCAGCGUUAGAGUUGAUUAAGUUGAUUCAUUUUCAUGAAUUAAUUCAAUGAAUUCCAUCAAACCGCUGCAAUGAAUCGAUUCAUAAAUCACCUCUAAUAACUGUGUUUGUGUCAAAAUGUGUCAAAAAAAAAAAGUCUCUGCAGGGCAUUUUUCAUUUAUAAAUAUUUUAGUAAUAAUAUAUGUAGGUACAGUAUAUAUAGCUGUUUAUUACUGUGAAUAGUUAUAUUGGUGCAUAUAAAUGAAAAUGACUAAAUAGCAUUCUUGUAUUCAUUUAGCAACAACUAACUGAUUAAUAAAUCUAAUAUAAAUAAAUCUGUUUAUACAUAUAUUUAUAUUUCUAAUUAAUAAAUAAUAAUAAAAAGUAAUGCUUUGAUAAUUUGAUUAAGUGUUUUAGAUCUUAUAUUAAGGCUGAAGUGUGUAAUUUCAGCGCCACUGGCACCACCAAAUGGAACUGCAUAAAUAAACAAUGUUUACAAAAGAGCUUUCUGAAUUGAAUCAAACGAACAGAUAGUCCUGCCCCCAACUCACGCCACUGGUCGAGUCAGUUUUGCUGAGUUUCAUGAGAUGAGUCGCACAAAACAAUUUUCAUAGAGCCACAGUGUUUACAGUUUUGACAAAAUUAACCUAUGAAUGGCUUGUCGUCUCUGCAUAUUAAGCUGGGAUAGAAGAAAAUAUUUGAACACUGAAAAAGUUACACAUUUCAGCUUUAAAAAUGUUGUAUGUACUUGGCAACAAUGGCUGUGGUUGCGUUGAUUGACCCCCCCCCCCCCCAAGCAAAUAGCAAACAAAUACUUAAAUACCGAGAUAUACAUCAAAUAUUGUCAAAAGGCUGUAUAAUAUUUUUUUCUAGCUCUAUUACCCAACUGUUUUGUGUCUGACAUACUGUAGUUGACUAGAUAAUCUGACAGUGCACUCGCGCGUCCUUUGAGCUGGUUGUGGAUGUACCUGAGGAUGAGACAUGGAAUCUACACCAGAGUGAUGAUGAAGGCUCCUUUAGCUACUGUGCCCAAAUGAUAGAGCAUCAGGAUCAGAACUGAUGACACGAUAGCGUGAAGGGCAACUGAGACUUAUCUCUACAAUGACAGAAUGAAACAGAGCAUAGUAUGACCACAAAAACUGUAUAGCAGGCUACAGUUGAUGUCAGAAGUUUACAUACAACUUAGCCAAAUACAUUUCAACAGAAUAAUAGUAGAGAAAAUUAUUUAUUUCAGCUUUUAUUUCUUUCAUCACAUUCCCAGUGGGUCAGAUGUUUACAUACACUUUGUUAGUAUUUGGUAGCAUUGCCUUUAAAUUGUUUAACUUGGGUCAAUUUUGGGUAGCCUUCCACAAGCUUCUCACAAUAAAUUGCUGGAUUUUGGCCCAUUCCUCCAGACAGAACUGAUGUAACUGAGUCAGGUUUGUAGGCCGCCUUGCUCACACAAGCUUUUUCAGUUCUGCCCACACAUUUUCUAUCAGAUUGAGGCUUUGUGAUGGCCACUACAAUACCCUGACUUUGUUGUCCUUAAGCCAUUUUGCCACAACUUUGGUGCUUGUGGUCAUUGUCCAUUUGGAAGGCCCAUUUGCUACCGAGCUUUAACUUCUUGGCUGAUGUCUUGAGAUGUUGCUUCAGUAUAUCCACAUAAUUUUACUUCUUCAUGAUGCCAUCAAUAUUUUGAAGUGCACCAGUCCCUCCUGCAGCAAAGCACCCCCACAACAUGAUGCUGCCACCCCCAUGCUUCACGGUUGGGAUGGUGUUCUUCGGCUUGCAAGCCUCAACAUUUUUCCUCCAAACAUAACGAUGGUCAUUAUGGCCAAACAGUUCAAGUUUUGUUUCAUAAGACCAGUGGACAUUUCUCCAGAAAGUAAGAUCUUUGUCCCCAUGUGCACUUGCAAACCAUAGUCUGGCUUUUUUAUGGUGGUUUUGGAGCAGUGGCUUCUUCCUUGCUGAACAGCCUUUCAGAUUAUGUCGAUAUAGGAUUCGUUUUACUGUGGAUAUAGAUACUUGUCUACAUGUUUCCUCCUGCAUCUUCACAAGGUCCUUUGUUGUUGUUCUGGGAUUGAUUUGCACUUUUCGCACCAAACUACGUUCAUCUCUAGGAGACAGAAUGUGUCUCCUUCCUAAGCAUUAUGAUGGCUGUGUGGUCACAUGGUGUUUAUACUUGCAUACUAUUGUUUGUACCAAUGAACGUGGUACAUUCAAGCGUUUGGAAAUUGCUCCCAAGGAUGAACCAGACUUGUGGAAGUCCACAAUUAUUUUUCUGAGGUCUUGGCUGAUUUCCUUUGAUUUUCCCAUGAUGUUAAGCAAAGAGGCACUGAGUUUGAAGGUAGGCCUUAAAAUACAUCCACAGGUACACCUCCAAUUGACUCCAAUUAGCCAAUUAGCCUAUCAGAAGCUAAUUGGAUAAUUGCCUAAAGGCUUGACAUCAUGGGGGGGGGGGACUUAAUGUGCUUUUAAGUCCUUGUGGUCGCGUAGUGAUUCACCUCAAUCUGGGUGGCGGAGGACGAAUCCCAGUUGCCUCCGCAUCUGAGACCGCCAACCCACGCAUCUUAUCACGUGGCUUGUUGAGCACGUUGCCACGGAGACAUAGCACGUGUGGAGGCUUCACGCCAUCCACACGCCCCACCGAGAACUAACCACAUUAUAGCGACCACAAGGAGGUUACCCCAUGUGACUCCACCCUCCCUAGCAACCAGGCCAAUUUGGUUGCUUAGGAAGCCUGGCUGGAGUCACAUUUUUCAAGCUGCUUAAAGGCACAGUUAACUUAGUGUAUGUAAACUUCUGACCCACUGGAAUUGUGAUAUAGUCAAUUAAAAGUGAAACAAUUGGUCUGUAAACAAUUGUUGGAAAAAAUUACUCAUGUCAUGCACAAAAUGUAGAUGUCCUAAAUAACUUGCCAAAACUAUUGGUUGCUAAUAUGAAAUCUGUGGAGUGGUUAAAAAAUUCGUUUUAAUGACUUCAACCUAAGUGUAUGUAAACUUCUUACUUCAACUGUAAGUAUUAUUUUAUUUUUUCUAAAUGAGCUUUGACCUCUGACCUGGUGAAGUAGUAUGUGAUGACAGCUCCCACUAUGGUCAUUUGUUGACAGGUGAUUAUGAACUCACUGAUCCAAAUGAGACCGAAUGAGUGAUACCAAACCAUGUAUUGCAGUGGCCCGUCCAUAUGGAACUCCACCAGGCCCAUCUGGUUAUUCUGCACUGGACUUCCUGUGGAAACACAGUUAUAUAAUGUUAGCAAAACUGUUUGACACUAUAACAAAUAUAUCGUAAGUGCUGCUUUAUCCCUGGAAGUUAAUUCAGACAUUGAAAAGGAAAACAUGAAUCUUUUCUGUAGAAUUGUCAAUUUGUAAGAUUCCUGAAGCCAUGUCCACACUAAUAGGUUUUCGUUUAAAAAAACGCAUUGAUUUCACUAUGUUUACGCCUCUCAUCCACACGAAAAUGCAGUUUUUUGAAGAGUGCUUUGAAAACACUUUCAAUCACUGCAAUUUUUGGAAAACACUGACGUUAGGUAGUUGAAAACUAAAUGGAUUAGUGCAGAUGUGUCUUGAGACCAAUAUAUUGUAGCCAUAGACCAAUAUAUCGUUUCCUGUACAAUGACGUAACUCACUGCUUAACCACCAUAGUAUGAUGCAUAGUUGGAGAAAUUUAGCUAGUCACGACUGUUUCCGGAAAACCUAGUAACUAUGCUGCGCAUCCAUCAUUCAGACCAAGUUGGUUCAACAAUACAGAGUGGUUGUUUAUGAUGUUACGCAGGGGGUGGAGUAAUAACUUCUGCUGAUAUCACAUUAUAAAAGCUCAUUUAGACUGUAAAGGGGUUCAGUGGAAAGGAGGAGGCGAGAACCGGCUUGACAACUUAAAUAAUAAUUUAAUAAACAACUUAACCAAAAACACACAAAUAUAAACACACAGUACAGCUGCCUGUAAUUCUCUCUCUCUCUCUAACUGUCGUCCCCGGUCGCCUUUAUCCCUCGCGCGCCCCAUCAGGCUGAUUGGGGACCGGGCGUGCGUCAUUCCAGCCCGGCCCCGCCCACCUCGGCUCUACAUAGACAUACACCAGAAAGCCAUUUAAUGCAAGAAAGCUGCUGAAGACACGAAAGUAACAUGCACAGUGUAAUGAGACGGAUGCAUUGUGCUGCAAUAGUGGGGUUUCACUCUACACACGUGCACAUGCGCACUCUUCAAAGACAUAUAAACAGCACAUAAACACAUAAAAGCUGUGUUCUCUGACAGAAACAGUGUUAUAAAGCACUUUCUCUUAAUAGUCUUUAAUUCCUUAAAUGGCUGUAUUCGAUUCGAAUUCAUAUUAAUUCAGAAAUUCAUCACAAAACAUCAAAAAAAGAGGUGUAUUUUAGUCAUUGUGUAAAUAAAAUAGAUUUAUAAAGAUUUUUUAAAUAAAUUAGUAGAUCCAGACCCAAAAAAUGAAUGUCGUUUACCCUAUUUCUUAGCAUGGUCUUCUCUAACAAAGCAUGUCAACAGACCAAUGAGGCAUGAUCUUUAAAUUGUCUUUGUUAAAGUCAGAUGUAAUGAGCUCACCGAACACGAGCAGACACAAGCCCAUAAUCAUCUCCUUGGAUGUCAUCUCCCCGGCGAUGACCCUGUACACCACACUGUUGUCGCUGACAAAAGUGAUGAAUGCCUCCACAAACUUGGCAUAGCAGGAAAUAUCAACUGGCAUGCAGUGGUGGAAGACUGGGGUCCAAGAAAACACAUACCUACAAUAAUGCCAUUGAAAAUGUGUUAAAGAUAAAGUUGUGUUUCCAUACCCUGGCUGAGAGUAAAGGUAAUUCAAGGAACACAUAAGAUGUUUUGCAGAAUGUCCAAGCAGUCAAUCUCCAAAAGUACAAAAAAAAAGCAACCAUGAAAAGUAGUCCAUACUAGAGGUUCUUAUUACGAACCGUCCGAAUGAACAGAUUCGCUGAAUGAAUUGGACACAAUACGUUGAAGUAGCGGAACGAACGGAAUAGUGCAGACUUUUAAAAUAGGAAAUGGUAUGUAACUGUCAUGCUGAAGUUGGAAUUGCAUACUACCCAUACAACUUUUACUACUUCUCCCACUGCAGAAAUAAUACAAGUAGUGCGGUAGUUUGCAAUUCCGAACUCAGCCUCAGUGUCUGCAACCAUUGUAUGGGCUGCUAAUGCUGUCAGGCACAUUACAUUAAGUGACUAUUGACAGAUGACAUAUUAUUGCAAUCUAUUAUUAUUUUCCCCUUCACCAGUGGGAAUACAGAUGAGAUAACUUCACAAUACAGCAACAUGUCACAAAUGUGGAGAUGGCAAGGAUUGAACCCAGGUCUUCACACAUGCAAAUUAUGCACUCUACCACUGAGCUACAUCACCAAUUAAGUGCUGAUCAGAGUUGCAGUUUUCACCUGGCAGACAAUACAAUUAUAUAUGGAGUUAUUGAAAUGUCAUACUGAAUUAUUUUUAUUUAUGUUUAAUAUUUUUUAUUAUUAUUUGUUACUGCUUAAUUAUUAUUAGGCUUUUAUUUUUUUGUUCUUUUUUUUUUUUUUUUUCUCAUUACUCGUGUGUGUAUUGAUGCAUUGGCAAUAUUGUAUGUAAACACAAUCAUGCAAAUAAAGUUACUUGAAAUUGAAAAAUUAC